GACGAACGCUGGCGGCGUGCUUAACACAUGCAAGUCGAACGGAAAGGCCCUGCUUUUGUGGGGUGCUCGAGUGGCGAACGGGUGAGUAACACGUGAGUAACCUGCCCUUGACUUUGGGAUAACUUCAGGAAACUGGGGCUAAUACCGGAUAGGAGCUCCUGCGGCAUGGUGGGGGGUGGAAAGUUUCGGCGGUUGGGGAUGGACUCGCGGCUUAUCAGCUUGUUGGUGGGGUAGUGGCUUACCAAGGCUUUGACGGGUAGCCGGCCUGAGAGGGUGACCGGCCACAUUGGGACUGAGGUACGGACCAGACUCCUACUGGAGGCAGCAGUGGGGAAUAUUGCACAAUGGGCGGAAGCCUAAUGCAGCAACGCCGCGUGCGGGAUGACGGCCUUCGGGUUGUAAACCGCUUUCGCCUGUGACGAAGCGUGAGUGACGGUAAUGGGUAAAGAAGCACCGGCUAACUACGUG
rnacentral:rRNA from 1 species